UACGUAGGUGGCGAGCGUUGUCCGGAAUUACUGGGUGUAAAGGGCGUGUAGGCGGGGAUGUAAGUCAGAUGUGAAAUACCAUGGCUCAACUGUGGGGCUGCAUCUGAAACUACAUUUCUUGAGUGCUGGAGAGGAAAGCGGAAUUCCCAGUGUAGCGGUGAAAUGCGUAGAUAUUGGGAGGAACACCAGUGGCGAAGGCGGCUUUCUGGACAGUAACUGACGCUGAGGCGCGAAAGCGUGGGGAGCAAACAGGAUUAGAUACCCUGGUAGUCCACGCCGUAAACGAUGGAUACUAGGUGUAGGAGGUAUCGACCCCUUCUGUGCCGGAGUUAACACAAUAAGUAUCCCACCUGGGGAGUACGGCCGCAAGGUUGAA
rnacentral:rRNA from 1 species